GGCGGGAAAAAGCUGAACGAUGUAAUUCCAUCCCCAGGCUGAAACACAUUAGCGCGUUUGGCAAGUGCUCUAUCAGAGGGCCAUUAGACUGAGGCUCGUGCAUGAGGGGAUAGCAUGCUUUUACUUUCACUCUCUUUGUAAUAAAAAAUGAUUUCCCGGUCGGAAUAUUAUCGCUUUUUUACGAGAAAAAUUGCAUAAAAAUUGAUUUUAAACAGCGGUUGACAUGCUUCGAAGUACGGUAAUGGAAUAUUUAGAAUGUUUUUUGUCACGAAACGUGUCGGGCGCGUCACCCUUCUUUACCCUUUCGGAUAGUUUCUUGAACACACAAACAAAACAGAGGAUAUUUGAACAUAACUAUGGAUUAUUUUGAACCAAACCAACAUUUGUUAUUGAAGUAGAAGUCCUGGGAGUGCAUUCUGACGAAGAACAGCAAAGGAGGGGUGCGUCACUUGAGUGGGUUGAGUCACUGAUGUGGUCUUCCUGUCUGGGUUGCCCCCCCCCUUGGGUUGUGCCGUGGCGGAGAUCUUUGUGGGCUAUACUCUGCCUUGUCUCAGGAUGGACCAUGCCUCAGGACUACCUAACAUGAUGACUCCUUGCUGUCCCCAGUCCACCUGGCCAUGCUGCUGCUCCAGUUUCAACUGUUCUGCCUGCGGCUAUGGAACCCUGACCUGUUCACCGGACGUGCUACCUGUCCCAGACCUGCUGUUUUCAACUCUCUAGAGACAGCAGGAGCGGUAGAGAUAUUCUCAAUGAUCGGCUAUGAAAAGCCAACUGACAUUUACUCUUGAGGUGCUGACUUGUUGCACCCUCGGCAACAACUGUGAUUAUUAUUUGACCAUGCUGGUCAUUUAUGAACAUUUGAACAUCUUGGCCAUGUUCUUUUAUAAUCUCCACCCAGCACAGCCAGAAGAGGACUGGCCACCCCUCAUAGCCUGGUUCCUCUCUAGGUUUCGGCCUUUCUAGGGAGUUUUUCCUAGCCACCGUGCUUCUACAUCUGCAUUGCUUGCUGUUUGGGGUUUUAGGCUGGGUUUCUGUACAGCACUUUGAGAUAUCAGCUGAUGUAAGAAGGGCUAUAUAAAUACAUAUCAUUUGAUGUUGUAGCCUAAUUUGGAAAACAAUUGUUUCCCUAAAAAAACGUGAUCAAUAGGGAAGAGUUUUCAAACUGUGUGCACUGGGACUGAGAGCAUAGCCUCGGGAGCACACACAGUGUAGGCUGGCUUUUGUCCUGAAUACAAAUUGUUAUGUUUCGGGAAAAUCCAAUACAGCACAUUACUGAGUACCACUCUCCAUAUUUUCAAGCAUAGCGGUGGAUGCACAUGUUAUGGGUAUGCUUAUAAUUGUUAAGGACUGGGGAGUUUUUCAGGAUACAAAAUACACGGAAUGGAGCUAAGCACAGGCAAAAUCCUAGAGGAAAACCUGGUUCAGUCUGCAUUCCUUUCAGCAGGACAAUAACCUAAAACACAAGGCCAAAUCUACACUGGAGUUGCUUACCAAGAAGACAGUGAAUGUUCCUGAAUUGCCGAGUUACAGUUUUGACUUAAAUCUUCUUGAAAAUCUAUGGCAAGACCUGAAAAUGGUUGUCUAGCUAUGAUCAACAACCAAUUUGACAGAGCUUGAAGAAUUAUUUAAAGAAUAAUAGGCAAAUGUUGCACAAUCCAGGUGUGGAAAGCUCUUAGAGACUUACCCAGAAGACAUAGCUGUAAUCGCUGCCAAAGGUGCUUCUACAAAGUAUUGACUCAGGAGUGUGAAUACUUAUGUCAACUCAAUAUUUCAUUUUCAAUAAAUGUGCAAAAGUUUUCAUUUUGUCAUUAUGGGUUAUUGUGUGUAGAUUGGUGAGAACAAACUAUACAGUAGCAGUCAAAAGUUUGGACACACAUUGUCACGUUCGUCGUAAAGAUGGGACCAAGGCGCAGCGGG
rnacentral:lncRNA from 1 species